rnacentral:lncRNA from 1 species
ACAUAAAUACAAAUAUUCUGAAUAUGCUCUUAUAUGUUUGAAAUAUGUGUUUUCAAUCGUAAUGAUUUAAGAUGAGCUACAAUGUGGAAGAUACAUAUCUCAAAUUAUGACUUUGAAAGCCUCUAUUGAAAAUCUUUAUGAAAUUCAGAAUCUGAUUUUGUAUAAAAGCUUAAACUCAAUAUGAUUUCCAAAUAAAAUCUUAAUGUAAGAAAAACAAAAUUAAUUUUGAUGCCCUGGUUGAUUGCUCCGAUACGCAUCCGAAACAUAUCAUUUCUUAUCUUUAAAGUGUACUAAUAUUGGUCCAAAUGAUGUGUCUUUCGAUGAUCUUGAUUGCAAA